GACGAACGCUGGCGGCGUGCUUAACACAUGCAAGUCGAACGGAAAGGCCUGCUUUCCCUUGUGGAUUGCGGGUACUCGAGUGGCGAACGGGUGAGUAACACGUGAGUGAUCUGCCCCCAACUUGGGUAUAAGCCUGGGAAACUGGGUCUAAUUCCCGAUAGGACUGCAGGGUGGUGCCUGUGGUGGAAAACGAUUUUCUAGUGGUUGGGGAUGAGCUCGCGGCCUAUCAGCUUGUUGGUGGGGUAAUGGCCUACCAAGGCGGCGACGGGUAGCCGGCCUGAGAGGGUGGACGGCCACAUUGGGACUGAGAUACGGCCCAGACUCCUACGGGAGGCAGCAGUGGGGAAGAUUGCACAAUGGGCGGAAGCCUGAUGCAGCGACGCCGCGGGGGGGAUGACGGCCUUCGGGUUGUAAACUCCUUUCGACCGCGAGGAAGCCACCUGGUUGGAAGGGUGGUGACGGUAGUGGUAGAAGAAGCACCGGCUAACUACGUG
rnacentral:rRNA from 1 species